rnacentral:rRNA from 1 species
UACAGAGGGUGCAAGCGUUAAUCGGAGUUACUGGGCGUAAAAGGCGCGUAGGUGGUUGUUUAAGUGAGAUGUGAAAUCCCUGGGCUUAACCUAGGAACUGCAUCUCAUACUGGAUAACUGGAGUAUUGUAGAGGGUAGUGGAAUUUCCGGUGUAGCGGUGAAAUGCGUAGAGAUCGGAAGGAACACCAGUGGCGAAGGCGGCUACCUGGGACGGUACUGACGCUGAGACGCGAAGGUCAGGGGAGCAAACGGG